UGGGGAAUAUUGGACAAUGGGCGCAAGCCUGAUCCAGCAAUGCCGCGUGAGUGAUGAAGGCCUUAGGGUUGUAAAGCUCUUUCGCACGCGACGAUGAUGACGGUAGCGUGAGAAGAAGCCCCGGCUAACUUCGUGCCAGCAGCCGCGGUAAUACGAAGGGGGCUAGCGUUGUUCGGAAUUACUGGGCGUAAAGGGCGCGUAGGCGGCCUGUUUAGUCAGAAGUGAAAGCCCCGGGCUCAACCUGGGAAUAGCUUUUGAUACUGGCAGGCUUGAGUUCCGGAGAGGAUGGUGGAAUUCCCAGUGUAGAGGUGAAAUUCGUAGAUAUUGGGAAGAACACCGGUGGCGAAGGCGGCCAUCUGGACGGACACUGACGCUGAGGCGCGAAAGCGUGGGGAGCAAACAGAUUAGAUACCCUGGUAGUCCACGCCGUAAACGAUGAAUGCUAGACGUCGGGGUGCAUGCACUUCGGUGUCGCCGCUAACGCAUUAAGCAUUCCGCCUGGGGAGUACGGCCGCAAGGUUAAAACUCAAAUGAAUUGACGGGGUCAUAGCUGUUUCCU
rnacentral:rRNA from 1 species